GAUGAACGCUGGCGGCGUGCUUAACACAUGCAAGUCGAACGAAGCACUUUAUUUGAUUUCCUUCGGGACUGAUUAUUUUGUGACUGAGUGGCGGACGGGUGAGUAACGCGUGGGUAACCUGCCUUGUACAGGGGGAUAACAGUUGGAAACGGCUGCUAAUACCGCAUAAGCGCACAGCAUCGCAUGAUGCAGUGUGAAAAACUCCGGUGGUAUAAGAUGGACCCGCGUUGGAUUAGCUAGUUGGUGAGGUAACGGCCCACCAAGGCGACGAUCCAUAGCCGAACUGAGAGGGUGACCGGCCACAUUAGGACUGCGACACGGCCCAAAAUCCUACGGGAGGCAGCAGUGGGGAAUAUUGCAAAAUGGGCGAAAGCCUGAUGCAGCGACGCCGCGUGAGCGAAGAAGUAUUUCGGUAUGUAAAGCUCUAUCAGCAGGGAAGAUAAUGACGGUACCUGACUAAGAAGCACCGGCUAAAUACGUG
rnacentral:rRNA from 1 species